UACGUAGGGGGCAAGCGUUGUCCGGAAUCAUUGGGCGUAAAGCGCGUGUAGGCGGCUCGGUAAGUCUGCUGUGAAAGUCCAGGGCUCAACCCUGGAAAGCCGGUGGAAACUGUCGAGCUAGAGUCCGGAAGAGGCGAGUGGAAUUCCUGGUGUAGCGGUGAAAUGCGCAGAUAUCAGGAGGAACACCAAUGGCGAAGGCAGCUCGCUGGGACGGUUCUGACGCUGAGACGCGAAAGCGUGGGGAGCAAACAGG
rnacentral:rRNA from 1 species